CGCAGUUUCACGCAUGAUCGACGUUCGCCUAAAAGCUUUCUCCAAUAAAUCCUGGCAAACAUAGAAUUAAUUGACAGUAUACUCGACUUUAAAACUGAUUCCACGUAAAAAGCAUAAGAUGUGCAGAUCGACGUUCGAAUAAAAACUUUCUCCGAUGAAACGUAUUGUCAAAAACGACGCGUUGGUUAACGUGCUUCAUCGACGAUCGAUGUUUGAACGAACGCACAGUAGAAAAAGGAUCUUUGGUGAAGAGACAGUGGAGAGUCGACUGGCUGAAGUUGCGCGAUGCAUUUUCCCCGAAGAAGGUAUCGGAUAAAAUCGAACAACGCCGGAUUGCGUUAAACGAGACGAUCGCAGCGAAUGACAGAAGGUGGGAAAAAUAUUUGACAAACGCAAGGAACGGACGAUAUCCGCUCGGUCUGCUUCCUUUCUCACCUUGCGCAGCCAUCUCGACUCGGCUGGUCGAGCUAACGGAACCAUCCCAAGACGUUUUGUCCAUCUUUUCUUUCGACCAACCGGCCGCCUCUAGAGAGUUAGGCUGCAGCUACAUAACAUACCGAAACAGCUGACCGACAACCGGUGACCGGCCUUUCUAUAGCGUGUAAGUAUGCGUACAGAAGACUAUACACUGGCGCUCGUGAAUAUACGUGGACAGUUUGGUCGAUUUGCAAUAAAAGUAGACCGCGGGUGUCCAUGCAAAUUAAUAUUGUUAUAAACUCGACCAAAGCAGCGCAACUCCAAUGAACAUUCGUUUCGCUCUCUAAAUAGCGACAACGAAUAUUUUACUUUGAAUAUAUUGUACACUUUCCCUCUGCGUCUCUGCACAAUGAAUUCUUUUGAUACAAUUUGAUAUUAUAUAUGUCGGAGAUGAAAGGACAUCGGGGCCUUUCUUUUGGAAUUUUUGAGAAGACCCCCAAUACUUUAGUCCAGACUUUUCAUUAUAGCGAUACUUGAAUAAUAAAACUUAGAAGUAGUUGUUUAUGAUUUAAUCCGAUUAUGUGUGUCCGAGAAUUAUGACAAUAGGCUUGGGCUCGAUGUGACACAACUGGUCGCCGAACGUAGCCACGGUCACGGGAUGAACGUUCUUACCUAACAGAGAAGUGCCAAUAUUGUGGGACACACGUUGUAUUAACAAUCAAACCCCGGGCAGGAGCAAUGUCAGCUCUACGAGGGUCUGCCUAGCAACGGUGGCUGCAAUUUUGUUGGUAUCCCCGGCCAAUAUGCAACGAACAAACGCGAUCAUAAGGAGAGGAAAAUUUCCAUCAGUCUUUUAUUCUUGCUAUCACCUUGGAGAGUUUACACAUCGUCUUUACGUGCAGUAUUAUACCGAGCGUCACAGCAAACGUUACUUUGUGCUUCAAAAUAUAUUCUACAUUUUUAACCCUUAGAGUGCUAUGGACGCAUAUAUGCGUCUGGCGAAAGCUAUCGGUGUGGACUAAGAACACAUAUAUGCGUUUUCUGUAAGUGUCCGGCAUGGACCAAGGACGCAUAUAUGC